rnacentral:rRNA from 1 species
AGAGUUUGAUCCUGGCUCAGGACGAACGCUGGCGGCGUGCUUAACACAUGCAAGUCGAGCGGUAAGGCCCCUUCGGGGGUACACGAGCGGCGAACGGGUGAGUAACACGUGAGCAACCUACCCUCAACUUCGGGAUAAGCCUCGGAAACGGGGUCUAAUACCGGAUAUCACCUCGGGCUUCAUGGUUUGGGGUUGAAAGUUCUGGCGGUUGGGGAUGGGCUCGCGGCCUAUCAGCUUGUUGGUGGGGUAAUGGCCUACCAAGGCGUCGACGGGUAGCCGGCCUGAGAGGGCGACCGGCCACACUGGGACUGAGACACGGCCCAGACUCCUACGGGAGGCAGCAGUGGGGAAUAUUGCGCAAUGGACGAAAGUCUGACGCAGCAACGCCGCGUGAGGGAUGACGGCCUUCGGGUUGUAAACCUCUUUCAGCAGGGACGAAGCGAGAGUGACGGUACCUGCAGAAGAAGGACCGGCCAACUACGUGCCAGCAGCCGCGGUAAUACGUAGGGUCCGAGCGUUGUCCGGAGUUACUGGGCGUAAAGCGCGCGCAGGCGGCGGUGUUGGCUCGGCGUGAAAGCCCCUGGCUCAACCAGGGAGGGUCGUCGAGGACCGCACCGCUUGAGGGCGGUAGGGGCUGGUGGAAUGCCUGGUGUAGUGGUGAAAUGCGUAGAGAUCAGGCGGAACACCCGUGGCGAAGGCGGCCAGCUGGGCCGUCCCUGACGCUGAGGCGCGAAGGCGUGGGGAGCGAACGGGAUUAGAUACCCCGGUAGUCCACGCAGUAAACGAUGCCGACUAGGCGUGGGGGGAGUUGACCCCCUCCGUGCCGGAGCCAACGCGGGAAGUCGGCCGCCUGGGGAGUACGGCCGCAAGGCUAAAACUCAAAGGAAUUGACGG